GUGGCACCUGCUUCUCUUUUGGGACUCAUCUGAAUAGGCAGCCGGUUGUGUUGAAGCUGCCUUGUUGCUAAAUGCGUUGCUGCACUGUUACGCUCAGGAGCAGAAUUCCUGCCUAAAUGGAUCAGCUCGGAGCUUCCGGUUCCUGAUGGUCUUGUCUUCUGGGGUCAUGGAUGACAUUGACAACUAUAGACUGAGACCUCACUGGAGUGGCCUCUGAUGCUGCAUGGACACAGCUCAGUUCUUCUUGCGGACAAGAAACAUUUGCUACUUCUUGGUGGAGGUGGCACCUGCUUCUCUUUUGGGACUCAUCUGAAUAGGCAGCCGGUUGUGUUGAAGCUGCCUUGUUGCUAAAUGCGUUGCUGCACUGUUACGCUCAGGAGCAGAAUUCCUGCCUAAAUGGAUCAGCUCGGAGCUUCCGGUUCCUGAUGGUCUUGUCUUCUGGGGUCAUGGAUGACAUUGACAACUAUAGACUGAGGUUACCACUGCUCACCGGCUGACUAUAGGGCAGUCUUACAAUGCCUUCCCUUUUGUUCUGGAAGUUAUCAGAGUCUAUAAACUAUGUUCACACCUGUU